GCGGUGGUGGCGGAAUUGGUAGACGCGCUAGCUUCAGGUGUUAGUGUCAUUCGGACGUGAGGGUUCAAGUCCCUCCUUCCGCACCA
rnacentral:tRNA from 1 species